UCUUUACCAUAGUGUGCAUAUUUUUUUCUUUCCAUUCUGGCUUAUACUGUUUUUCUUUUAAGCUUGUAAGUGUACCUGUUUUGACAGCUGGCCAUUUACCCUGUGAUUUGGUGCUUGAUACCUUUGAAGCUAGAUAAAAAAGCUAACUUAUUCUUGCAGAUUGUGCACAAAGAUUCUCUCAUAAAUUAACAGAACAAACUCAUCAGAGUUGAAAUACUAGCUUAAAAAUGUAUGGCAUCUUCUGUUCAAUGCCCUUGCUGUGCUUUACAGUUAUUAAAGUCUAAUUAAAGCCUUUGAAUAUAUAGAAUCAUAAAAAUCAUUUAGGCUGGAAAACACCUUCAACAUCACCAAUUCCCACCAUUAACCUGACCUACCAAGUCCCAUCACUAAGCCAUGCCCCUUAGUGCUAUGUCCCCAUGUCUUUUAAAUACCUCCAGAGACAGGGACUCAAGCUCUGUCCUGGGCAGACUCUUUCAAUCCUCAAACACCCUCUCUGUGAAGAAUUCUUCCUAAUGCCCAGUCUAAACCUCCCCUGGUGCAACUUGAAACUGUUUCCCUGCAUCCUAUCACUCUAUCACUUGGAGAAAAGAGAAUGACAGCCUCCUUGCUGCAACCUGCUUUCAGGUAGUUGUGGGAAGUGAUGAGGUUUACUCAUCAGAGUCCUGUUCUCAAGACUAUAAACAAUCAUAGAAUGGCUUGGGUUGGAAGGGACCAUAAAGACCAUCUAGUUCCAAGUCCCCUGCCAUGGGCAGGAGUGCCGACAACCACAUCAGGUUGCCCAGGUCCUUGUCAACCUCGUCUUGAACACUUGAGGGAUGGGGCAUCCACAGCUUCUCUGGACAAUCAGUUCCAGUGCCUCACCGCACUCUGAAUAAUUUCCUCCCAGUAUUUAAUCUACAUCUCCCCUCUUUUAGUUUAAAACCAUUCCCCCUUGUCCUCUCAUUAUCUGUCUGAGUAAAAAGUUGCUCUCUAUCUUUUUUAUAAGCCCCCUUUAAGUAUUGAAAAGCUGCAAUGAACGCACCCUGGAGUCUUCUCUUGUUCAGGCUGAACAUCCCCAUCUCUCUCAGCCUUUCUUCAUAGCCUUUCACUGCUCCAGCCCUCUCAUCAUAAUAGUCCUCCUCAGGACCUGCUCUAAUAACCCCACAUCCUUCUUGUUUUGGAGGCCCCAGACCUGCAUACAGCACUCCCAAGUGCAGCCUCACAAGGGCAGAGCAGAGGGGGACAAUCAGAGAAUACACCGAGU